GCCCUUGUAGCUCAGGGGUAGAGCGUUGCACUUGUAGCAACAAGUGAUGCAAAGGUCCAUAGUUCAAAUCUGUGCGGGGGCA